UACGGGGGGGGUAAGCGUUGUUCGGAAUUACUGGGCGUAAAGGGCUCGUAGGCGGCCAACUAAGUCGGACGUGAAAUCCCUCAGCUUAACUGGGGAACUGCGUCCGAUACUGGAUGGCUUGAAUCCGGGAGAGGGAUGCAGGAUUCCAGGUGUAGCGGUGAAAUGCGUAGAUAUCUGGAGGAAUACCGGUGGCGAAGGCGGCAUCCUGGACCGGCAUUGACGCUGAGGAGCGAAAGCCAGGGGAGCAAACGGG
rnacentral:rRNA from 1 species